AAGGAUGAAACUCUUGAACAAACUUAUCUGAAAGGUAUUCUCUUUUCUUCCAUCGCCUGUAACUCUGUUAGUUCGAAAAAGAUUCAGGUGGAAACCAAACUCGUGAACCCUAACCUAAGAUUUCGUACUCAACCCAGUGAGGGAAAGAGGGUGAUGGUUCUGAAACUUUUGAAUUACCAAUCUCAGUAGAAACUUGAGAAGGAUCGAAAAAAAGGAAAUGUUGGUGUUCUUAACUGUAAAUUUCAGGUGUCUUCGGAUUCGAUAGGCGGGCUGCAGAGAUUAAGGUUUGAGUUGUGAGUUGAGUGGCAGGUAAUAUUUGUUCAAGUGGUGAAGAAGCGGGUGAAGGCGAGUUUAGCAUUUGGGUCGAAUAGAUUGUUUAACUUGCGUUCUCGGGAGAUCGCCGUUGGUCUCACGGAGGCGCUGUCUGUCGUAUGUAACUUUUUAGAGGUGUUUUUCUUGGGUUGAUUGUAAGUAGUCUCUAACUUCCGAGUGUAUAUAUGUAAUAUCAAACACCACAUUGUAAAUUAGGUGAUCAUGUAUGUAUAUUAUAACUUUUAGAGUCCAGUUGAAGUACAUGACAUGUCUUGAAAAGAAAGAUCCAUUUCAGGACAGUCUAGUGUCAGCAUGUUCCGUCUGUAAUUAAUCAGGUUCUUGUAGACCUUGUGUUUUUUUGUUUUUUUUUGGAAAGCCAUGUUAUACUUUCCUUUUGUUUUGUAAUCAGCCUGAAUAGACUUGGUUUAUGAUAGUUAAUACCUGAGGCUUGGGUUUUAGUGUUCUAA